rnacentral:rRNA from 1 species
AGCGGCAGACGGGUGAGUAACGCGUGGGAAUCUACCGUGCCCUACGGAAUAGCUCCGGGAAACUGGAAUUAAUACCGUAUACGCCCUACGGGGGAAAGAUUUAUCGGGGUAUGAUGAGCCCGCGUUGGAUUAGCUAGUUGGUGGGGUAAAGGCCUACCAAGGCGACGAUCCAUAGCUGGUCUGAGAGGAUGAUCAGCCACAUUGGGACUGAGACACGGCCCAAACUCCUACGGGAGGCAGCAGUGGGGAAUAUUGGACAAUGGGCGCAAGCCUGAUCCAGCCAUGCCGCGUGAGUGAUGAAGGUCUUAGGAUUGUAAAGCUCUUUCACCGGUGAAGAUAAUGACGGUAACCGGAGAAGAAGCCCCGGCUAACUUCGUGCCAGCAGCCGCGGUAAUACGAAGGGGGCUAGCGUUGUUCGGAAUUACUGGGCGUAAAGCGCACGUAGGCGGAUAUUUAAGUCAGGGGUGAAAUCCCAGAGCUCAACUCUGGAACUGCCUUUGAUACUGGGUAUCUUGAGUAUGGAAGAGGUGAGUGGAAUUCCGAGUGUAGAGGUGAAAUUCGUAGAUAUUCGGAGGAACACCAGUGGCGAAGGCGGCUCACUGGUCCAUUACUGACGCUGAGGUGCGAAAGCGUGGGGAGCAAACAGGAUUAGAUACCCUGCUAGUCCACGCCGUAAACGAUGAAUGUUAGCCGUCGGGCA